rnacentral:tmRNA from 1 species
GGGGGUGAUACGGUUUCGACGGGGGUUCUGAACGUGAUGGUUGCGUGCCGCGGAUCUCGUUCUCCGCGAUAAAACGAGCGGGAAAACACAGCUGCCAACGACAGCAACUACGGCCGUAUGGCCGUCGCCGCCUAAUAAGCGACGACGCCCCCCUCCCAGACUGCUCUCAGUAAGAGACGGGGUGUUAUCACAGGGAGCUGGCUGACGGGACGCUCCGACCCGCUAGCGAGAUCAAGGAGAUCGGUUCCGAGAGGGCCUGUCGGUGGGCAUGCUCGGCGCCAAGAUCAAAUAUGCCGAAUACGCACGUAGAAGCCUCGCCUGAUGGCCUUCGGACCCGGGUUCGACUCCCGGCGCCUCCACAA